UCACAAUUCAGGCAGAGAGACACAGCUACACACAAGCUGUCCCACAGGCCCUGGACCCACUCACCUCACACUGAGAUGGAGCCCCAGCCCAAAGGACUGCUGAGGCUGUCAGGGAUGAAGUUUUAAAAGAAUUCCAGGGCUGGGAGUUCUAGCCACAUAUGAGAUGUGGGCUACAGGAGCACAGGGAACUAGAUCAACUCAUCAGUGAAGAAACAGCUGUCAGAAGUUUGAGGGAUUUUGUGGGUGCCAUUCUUGGAGUUGUGUUGGAAGAUCCAACAGAGGAGUUUGGAUCCUCAAAAGAGCAAAAGAGAGGAUUUCUUCCUAAGGAAACCAACCUGCGUUCUAAGUAACAUGUCCCUGGACAGGCAUUCUGGGAGUCUGAGCUGUGUGAGGUGGAGGAAGCAAGUCUGAGGCAGGGGGCAAUGGUGGCCUGCCAGUUCUUCCAAGCCCUUUCCUUCUGCACACAAGUGACCUGGCUACAUACAGCACCACCAAGAACACCUGCUUGCCUCUCUGCCUCAUCCAUCAUCCGAACCUCAGGUUCACGCACUCAACAUUAAUCAUUUGGAGCAAACACCUGGCAAGAGAGACCACCAGGGGGACCUCCAAAAGGAGGCCUUUCAUGAGUGACAAUGGGGAGGGAGGAGAGAGUGGAGAGUGAGCAGAGGCUCCACCCUGUGCUGGUGGGAUGCUGAGGCAGCUGCUGGGAGACAGUACUGAUUAGCAUCGCCUGUAGAAUCCAGAGAAGUAGAGAGGCAGAUGAGGAGCUGCUGGGAGAAUGAGCAUCCUUAAAUAAGAGACAUAAGUGUAAUGGGAACAGAGGAGUUCCUAAGUGGCUCAUCUCAGGCUGCUCUGCAAUAACGGGAAUGUUAAAUAUACACCAGGAGGGAGGGGGGGAAGGAUAGGUUGAAUGAGCCAAUGGGGUUACUAGAAAUAUGCGCAUGCAGCCACCUAUCUGCAGCCAGUUCUGGGUUUGUUUGGAAACAAGUAGCGAUGUUUUUAAUGGCAUAUUAAA
rnacentral:lncRNA from 1 species